AAUUACCGUACCAAACCAAUGCAGGUGGGCGGGUUGGGUAUACUCAGGUGAUCGAGGCAACGGCGUUUAAGGAACUCGGCAAAUUGACUCUGUAACUUUGGGAGGAGGAGUGCUCUUUUUCUAGAGUGUAAUAAACAAGGGGGGAGCGACUGUUUACUAAAAACACAGGACUCUGCGAAAUAGCAAUAUGACGUAUAGGGUCUGACGCCUGCCCGGUGCCAUUGAGCAAAAGCAAGGUGUGUAAGCAUCAAGUAUAAGCUUCGGUAAACGGCGGCUGUAACUCUGACGGUCCUAAGGUAGCGAAAUU
rnacentral:rRNA from 1 species